UACAGAGACUGCAAGCGUUAUUCGGAUUCACUGGGCGUAAAGGGUGCGCAGGCGGAUAUGUAAGUCAGUGGUGAAAUCUCUGGGCUUAACCCGGAAAUUGCCAUUGAUACUAUAUAUCUUGAAUGUUGUGGAGGUAAGCGGAAUAUGUCAUGUAGCGGUGAAAUGCUUAGAUAUGACAUAGAACACCUAUUGCGAAGGCAGCUUACUACGCAGAUAUUGACGCUCAUGCACGAAAGCGUGGGGAUCAAACAGG
rnacentral:rRNA from 1 species